rfam:Campylobacter sp. RM18021, complete genome.
GUAUAGGUGCUCUGUGAUGUGGCUUUGUUUGAGUGUGUUUAACAUUAGAAGUUGCAACCUUUAAGCGCUUAUCUAUUUGCAAGAUUGGCUUUAAUUUGGGCCACUCUUUUAUGCAACGCUCAUUUGGGU